rnacentral:rRNA from 1 species
UACGUAGGGUGCGAGCGUUAAUCGGAAUUACUGGGCGUAAAGCGUGCGUAGGUGGUGAGUUAAGUCUGUCGUGAAAGCCCCGGGCUCAACCUGGGAAUGGCGAUGGAUACUGGCUCGCUAGAGUGCGGUAGAGGAGAGUGGAAUUCCCGGUGUAGCAGUGAAAUGCGUAGAGAUCGGGAGGAACAUCAGUUGCGAAGGCGGCUCUGGGCCGUAACUGACGCUGAGGAGCGAAAGCAUGGGGAGCGAACAGG